rnacentral:misc_RNA from 1 species
GGCAAGCGCCAGGGCGCAGGAAGCAGGGACUCGGCAAUCAGGAGCCAUGACCAACGCAGGGGCGAGCACCAGAGGAAAAACAGCGGCAGCUGAAAGUGGUGGACACGGCCAUUGCGGAAGGCAGAAAUCCGAGCAGGGACAUACGCCAUGAGCCAAGUGGAGGACGAGCAGAGAGGGAAAGAAAAAUAGGGACACGACACGGGCAGGGAGCACCAGGGACGACCAGGCGGCACGCGCGCAUCCAGCUCCACAGAAACGACAUGACGAGGAAGGAACUCAGUGCCAUGACGAGCUGCAGCAGGGAGCCACGAUGAGCGCAGGGAGAUGGGCGCCGAGCACCAUUGGGGAUGGGGCGUGCGCGUCCCUGCGACCAGAGGGAGAGCCACGGCCACAGGAGCGCGAGCACAGGGGCGCCAGGGGAAGACGCGCAGGGGAAUCGAACGGAGUUGGGGAGAAUGAAGAUCCGGGCGUGCCGCCAUGGGCAAGUGUAAGGGCAGCAGGCCGAGCGUGCACCAGAGAAGGGCGACGGCGGCCAGCGCCAUGACGAGCAGACGCGCGGCGCUGGGCGCGCAGGGAGGAAGACAUGCCAGGGAGCUGCACGGGUCUGGCGGAAUCCGAGCAGGGAGGGAGAGGAUCUGGGCACGCGCUAGGGAGCCGAGCAGGAAGAGCUGCCAUGGGAGAAGCUCCUGCGCGCAGAGAGGAGAACCGAGCUUGAAGGAGCGCCAUGGCUGGAACCAGGGGCGCGGUUUGGGAGAGCUCAGGGAGAGAGGUGAAUUGGAGAUGGAGACUGAUCAGGGAACGACUUUAGGAGAAUUCCAGCGCGGUGGAGAAGAUAUUUGGAGGGAGGGCAGCGAGAUUUCUUUCUCCACGAACCUGCGCGGCGCAGGGAUAAGUCCCACGGAGAAGAAAAGAUUAGGG